ACCCACACUCGUGCUACCCUGAAUGCACCUGAUCUUGUCUGAUCUCAGAAGCUAAGCAGGGUCAGGUCUGUUAGUAUUUGGAUCAGGAGAAAUAACCAACAUGAGGACA
rnacentral:rRNA from 1 species